rnacentral:rRNA from 1 species
GACGAACGCUGGCGGCGUGCUUAACACAUGCAAGUCGAACGGAAAGGCCUGCUUUCCCUUGUGGAUUGCGGGUACUCGAGUGGCGAACGGGUGAGUAACACGUGAGUGAUCUGCCCCCAACUUGGGUAUAAGCCUGGGAAACUGGGUCUAAUUCCCGAUAGGACUGCAGGGUGGUGCCUGUGGUGGAAAACGAUUUUCUAGUGGUUGGGGAUGAGCUCGCGGCCUAUCAGCUUGUUGGUGGGGUAAUGGCCUACCAAGGCGGCGACGGGUAGCCGGCCUGGGAGGGUGGACGGCCACAUUGGGACUGAGAUACGGCCCAGACUCCUACGGGAGGCAGCAGUGGGGAAUAUUGCACAAUGGGCGGAAGCCUGAUGCAGCGACGCCGCGUGGGGGAUGACGGCCUUCGGGUUGUAAACUCCUUUCGACCGCGAGGAAGCCACCUGGUUGGAAGGGUGGUGACGGUAGUGGUAGAAGAAGCACCGGCUAACUACGU